GUCCYUUUGAUUAUAAUUUUAGGUCUAACCYGCCCCCYGAAUUUUAAAAGGCUGCAGUAUUUUGACUGUACAAAGGUAGCAUAAUCAUUAGUUUUUUGAUUGGAAGCUGGAAUGAAGGGUUUGAUGAAAAAUUUUCUGUCUCAAUUUUAAUGAUUGAAUUUAACUUUUUAGUUAAAAGGCUUAAAUUUUUGUAAAAGACGAGAAGACCCUAUAGAACUUUAUAGUUAAUAAAUAUUAGUAGUUUAGUAUUUAUUUUUAUUGUUUUUUUCUAUUAAGUUGGGGUGACUAGAAAAUUUAAUUAACUUUUUUUUUUAUUACAUUUAUAUAUGAAUAUAUGAUCCUUUAAAAGAUUAUAAGAUUAAGUUACCUUAGGGAUAACAGCGUAAUUUUUCUUUAGAGUUCUAAUUGAAAGAAAAGAUUGCGACCUCGAUGUUGGAUUAAAGUAAAAUUUAGGKGAARAAGCUUAUUUUUUGGGUCUGUUCRACCCUUAAAACUUUACA
rnacentral:rRNA from 1 species